rnacentral:lncRNA from 1 species
AAAAAACUCUGGAGGAGGCCAUUCGAAGCGACACAUCAGGACACUUCCAGCGGCUCCUCAUCUCUCUCUCUCAGGGAAACCGUGAUGAGAGCACAAAUGUGGACAUGUCCCUUGUCCAGAGAGAUGUCCAGGAGCUGUAUGCAGCUGGGGAGAACCGCCUGGGAACAGACGAGUCCAAGUUCAACGCCAUCCUGUGCUCCCGGAGCCGGGCCCACCUGGUGGCAGGUACGACAGUCCUGGGUCAGUUAGAUGAAAGCAGGCAGGACAUUGUAUUGAGAAAAAGCCUACAGGAUAUUUGCCUGAUGUGCUCUGGAUGGACCUUCACUUCCUCAAGAGCCCCCUGGUGGUGUCUUAAAGGACAAGGCAAGGAAAUGGAUUGCCAUGCUCUGAAAUAAGGGAUGUCAGAGUGGUCGGGCAGGCAGAAUCACAGCCUCUGAUCUCUACAUGGCAUGUACCCAAUAGCAGCAAGUGAAGACGAAAAGAGAAGAGAAAGCAUUGCAGCCAUGCUGGGAGCAUUAGCUUAUUUUAUUUGAACAUUAAAGUGGGUUUCUGUCCAUCCGAUGGUGAUGGUGGAGUGGUGUGGUCUCCGUCAUGGGGUUCAGCUUCAUGUCAGGAGACAGCUACACAGUACCACCUGGAGCUGGUGGUGAAUGUGUGGGAUGGGUAGAAGGUGAUGGAAUGGAGUUGGGGGAGGGGCUGGGGCAGUCGUGUGGUAUGAGGCUGUAUGAUCAAAAGCCCUGAAAGGACAGGCACAAAGGCCCCGCUGGCUAUGGCCCAGGCGUAGCCAAGGGGAUGCAGGUAUCCGGAGCAGAUACAGUUGCAACAUCAAGACGUGGGGUCAGAGGUGGUGGACAGCUCUGCUGACAGUGUAGGGUUUGGUGUUCAUCCUGAGAGGAGUCAGAAGCCACAGGAAGGCCCUCAGAGGCGUGUGUCCUUCCUUCAGCUUGCAGAGCAACGUGCUGCCCAGAUUCCCCAGAGGACCUGGGCCUCAGCUGUGGUGCAGGGAGAGUGAAGGAUCCACAGUUGAGUUGAUGAGGUGGAAAGCCCUGCAGUGACCUGGGGGGAGCUGGUGGAAGCCUGGAUGGGGAGUGGAGGAGAAGGGACCAGAAUCCAGCCUGCUUGCUGAGAAACUGGGCAUGGUGUGUUGAAGCUCAGAUGUCAGGAGAGGUUUUGGGCUUGGAUGGUUGGGAGCUGUGGGGGGUCAGGCGGCUGAGGCUUUGGGACUGUGAGAGGUCUUCCUGGGAGGGGACCAGAAAGAGAGCAGCAGUUUGAAGGUGGGGCCCUGAACUAUUGUAGGAACAUACAGAGCAGCCAGUUAGCUGGGAGGGCCUGGAGAAAGGGAAGCCAUGGUCACCUGUAUCUGAAGGCCCCUGUGGGCAGACAGGUGAGAGAUGAGAACAGAGCGGAGUCAGCUUGGAAAGGCUGUGGGCGCUGCAGGGUAGGAUCAAGGCAAGGGGGAAGGAACGAGGCAAGGGGGAAGGAGCGAGGGAGGGGGAAGGGCGAGGAGAGGAUGGUGGCAUUGCUGCUCCUGGCCCAGGACCAGGCAGUAUUCCCUCCCUCGGUCUCAGGACUGGCCUGAGGCUGACAUGGCUAUGGACCUGGCUACUUUGGGCUUGAGCCCUGUCCCCAAGGCAUGCUUUUUACCCUCCUGGCUGCGUGACGGAAUGCGCAUGAACACGUGUUCAUUGUCAAUUUUCCUGUGUGAGAGGUUCACUUAUGCAUAUAAUGUUUUGAUCUGGUUGAUGCCCCCAUACCCUCCCCAUACUCUCCAUCCCACCCCCACACACACUAUGUGUGCUCUUUUUGCUGUUGCUUUGGUUGUUUGCUUUUUGAGACAGGGCCCUACUAGGUAACUUUGGCUGUAACUCGCUGUGUAGAACAGGCUAGCCUCAAACUCAGUGAUCUGUCUGCCUCUGCUUCCUGAGGGCUGAGGUUAAAGCAUGUGUCUUUAAUCUCCCCUUCCCUCUUCCUCUUCUCCUCCUUCUCCCCCUCUCCCUCUCCUAUGCCACGGAAUCUACCUAUUGUUACCAUUAUAUACGCUGCUGUAGUGCCGGCUACUGAAGCGUGGGUAGCUUCUUAGGGACCAUGUUCUUAAAGAAAACAGACUCUAGCAUCCACCCAUCCAUCCAUCCAUCCAUCCAUCCAUCCAUCCAUCCAUCUGUCACUUGCUAAUGGCUCCUCCGCUAGGGUUGGGGCUUCCUGAGUCCCUCUCUGUCCUCUCUGUCUGUGCUAAGCUUUUUGACUUGAUCUUGGGAAGGUCUUGUGCAUCCAGGCACAGCCUCUGUGAUUUCAUCUGUACAGUGGCCCUGUCAUGCCCGGUAAAUAUUUGCUGCAGCCCUCCACCAUGUUGGCUCUUCUGCCUUCUCUCCUGCGGUGACCCCAGAGCCUGGGGAAGAGGGGUAUGGAACAGAUUUCCCCAUGAGGGCUGAGUACUCCAGUCUCAUAUUCAAUGCACGCAGAACACUUGUGAUAUGGAUUUAUCUUCAUUUGUUUUAAUGAGUAUAGAACACUUGUGUCACUGUUGAGUUUCAGAGCAUUAUGACAUGGGAGAAAAAUGAGGAAAUAUUCAGGAAAAUAUCAGAUAAGCAGAAACCACAGCUCUGGUACGCAGAGGACACGGAUCUGGAACUAGUUGGUUGAAACUUGAGGCAGGGGUAGGAGGAGAAACUGAUGCCUGUGUUAGCACUAGACUCGGGCUCCUGGGCUUGCUAGCAUGGCUUCUUCCUAUAGGAGACAGCAGCUUGUUCUGCGGCCCUCAGCAGCUCCUGGGUUAUAAUUAAAGGCUUUCAGCACAAUGGAACAACGUGGGUUGUGUCUGAAUGGGGCAGAGCUCACUUGGGUCAUAGUGGGGAAGAGCAAGGUGAGCCUGCUUCGUGAAAUCAGAGGGGCCGGGGCUGGGGAUGAGGAGAUUUGAGGAGGACACUCGAGUGUGGGCUGAGAUUGGUCAGCAGACUGACCGCUCUGAUAAAGGGAUCAUCUGACUGCAGGCUGUGCAGCGCAGAGUGGAAAAGAGGCGGGACUCUUCAGGGUGUGUCUCCUCUCAUGGCUGGGCUUAAGCUACAGGAAUGUGUUUUCUUAAGAGUUUUAGACACUCGUAAGCUUGCCAGGAUUAGUUUCUCGUGAGGCCUCUCUUUCUCUCUGAGGUGAGCCUCCCGGUUCUUGUGACCUCAUGUGGUCUCUUCCUAGAUAGGUGUUCCUCAGUGUUAUGAUGAGAUGCUAUCCAACAAACCCAUUUGAAGAUGUUGUAUUGACACAGAUCUGUAGUCCUGGACACAUGAGAGGCUGAGAUUCAUGGAAGCAAGAGGGUUAUAGGGUAUGACUCCAUUACAUGCAAAGCAACAACAACAAC